rnacentral:rRNA from 1 species
AUGAACGCUGGCGGCGUGCCUCAUACAUGCAAGUCGAGCGAACAGACGAGGAGCUUGCUCCUCUGACGUUAGCGGCGGACGGGUGAGUAACACGUGGAUAACCUACCUAUAAGACUGGGAUAACUUCGGGAAACCGGAGCUAAUACCGGAUAAUAUAUUGAACCACAUGGUUCAAUAGUGAAAGACGGUUUUGCUGUCACUUAUAGAUGGAUCCGCGCCGCAUUAGCUAGUUGGUAAGGUAACGGCUUACCAAGGCAACGAUGCGUAGCCGACCUGAGAGGGUGAUCGGCCACACUGGAACUGAGACACGGUCCAGACUCCUACGGGAGGCAGCAGUAGGGAAUCUUCCGCAAUGGGCGAAAGCCUGACGGAGCAACGCCGCGUGAGUGAUGAAGGUCUUCGGAUCGUAAAACUCUGUUAUUAGGGAAGAACAAAUGUGUAAGUAACUAUGCACGUCUUGACGGUACCUAAUCAGAAAGCCACGGCUAACUACGUG